UUGUGCAAAGGUAGCAUAAUCAUUAGUCUCUUAAUUGGUGACUUGUAUGAAGGAUUGGAUGAGAUAUAAACUGUCUCAAAAAUAAUUAAUUGAAUUUAAUUUUUUAAUUAAAAAGUUAAAAUAUGUUAAAAAGACGAGAAGACCCUAUAGAGUUUUAUAUUAAAUAAUAUUUAAAUUAUUUAUAAAUUUCAUUAAUUAUAAAUUUUAUUUAAUAUUUUGUUGGGGUGAUAGAAAAAUAAAAAAAACUUUUUUUAAAAAUAGUCAUUAAUAAGUGAAUAAUUGAUCCAAUUUUAUUGAUUAUAAGAAAAAAUUACCUUAGGGAUAACAGCGUAAUUUUUUUUUUUAGUUCUUAUAAGAAGAAAAGUUUGCGACCUCGAUGUUGGAUCAGGACA
rnacentral:rRNA from 1 species